AUUGAACGCUGGCGGCAUGCUUUACACAUGCAAGUCGAACGGCAGCGCGGGCUUCGGCCUGGCGGCGAGUGGCGAACGGGUGAGUAAUACAUCGGAACGUGCCCAGUAGUGGGGGAUAGCUCGGCGAAAGCCGGAUUAAUACCGCAUACGUCCUGAGGGUGAAAGCGGGGGAUCUUCGGACCUCGCGCUAUUGGAGCGGCCGAUGGCAGAUUAGCUAGUUGGUGGGGUAAAGGCCUACCAAGGCGACGAUCUGUAGCUGGUCUGAGAGGACGACCAGCCACACUGGGACUGAGACACGGCCCAGACUCCUACGGGAGGCAGCAGUGGGGAAUUUUGGACAAUGGGCGAAAGCCUGAUCCAGCAAUGCCGCGUGUGUGAUGAAGGCCUUCGGGUUGUAAAGCACUUUUGGCGGGAACGAAAAGGACUGUGCCAAUACCACGGUUCGAUGACGGUACCCGCAGAAUAAGCACCGGCUAACUACGUG
rnacentral:rRNA from 1 species